rnacentral:rRNA from 1 species
GAUGAACGCUGGCGGCGUGCUUAACACAUGCAAGUCGAACGGAAAGGCCCUGCUUGCAGGGUACUCGAGUGGCGAACGGGUGAGUAACACGUGGGUGAUCUGCCCUGUACUUUGGGAUAAGCCUGGGAAACUGGGUCUAAUACCGAAUAUGACAAUGGUUUGGAUGCGAUUGUGGAAAGCUUUUGCGGUAUGGGAUGAGCUCGCGGCCUAUGAGCUUGUUGGUGGGGUAAUGGCCUACCAAGGCGUCGACGCGUAGCUGGCCUGAGAGGGUGAGCGGGCAUACGGGAAUGUAGAGACGGUUUAGAAUUGAAAUAGGGGCAGGACUCGGGAGUGUGGCAGCAGGGGCGAAUGUUGGACAAAGGGAGCAAGCGUGAUGGAGGGACGCCGCGGGGGGGUUGAGGGCCUUCGGGUUGUAAGAUCCUCAGGCAACCGACGAAGCCUUUUGGUGACGGUAGGUUGAGAAGAAGCACCGGCUAACUACGUG